UACAGAGGGUGCGAGCGUUAAUCGGAUUUACUGGGCGUAAAGGGCGCGUAGGUGGUAGAGCAAGUAAGAUGUGAAAGCCCUGGGCUUAACCUAGGAAGUGCAUCUUAAACUACUCGACUAGAGUAUGGUAGAGGGUAGUGGAAUUUCCGGUGUAGCGGUGAAAUGCGUAGAGAUCGGAAGGAACGCCAGUGGUGAAGACGACUACCUGGAUCAAUACUGACACUGAGGCGCGAAAGCGUGGGGAUCAAACAGG
rnacentral:rRNA from 1 species